rnacentral:rRNA from 1 species
AGUGAACGUUGGCGGUAGGCCUAACACAUGCAAGUCGAACGGCAGCACAGUAAGAGCUUGCUCUUACGGGUGGCGAGUGGCGGACGGGUGAGGAAUACAUCGGAAUCUACUUUUUCGUGGGGGAUAACGUAGGGAAACUUACGCUAAUACCGCAUACGACCUACGGGUGAAAGCAGGGGAUCUUCGGACCUUGCGCGAUUGAAUGAGCCGAUGUCGGAUUAGCUAGUUGGCGGGGUAAAGGCCCACCAAGGCGACGAUCCGUAGCUGGUCUGAGAGGAUGAUCAGCCACACUGGAACUGAGACACGGUCCAGACUCCUACGGGAGGCAGCAGUGGGGAAUAUUGGACAAUGGGCGCAAGCCUGAUCCAGCCAUACCGCGUGUGUGAAGAAGGCCUUCGGGUUGUAAAGCCCUUUUGUUGGGAAAGAAAAGCAGCAGGUUAAUACCCCGCUGUUCUGACGGUACCCAAAGAAUAAGCACCGGCUAACUUCGUG